rnacentral:rRNA from 1 species
GGGUGGAUUAGUGGCGAACGGGUGAGUAACACGUGAGUAACCUGCCCUUAACUCUGGGAUAAGCCUGGGAAACUGGGUCUAAUACCGGAUAGGAGCGCCGACCGCAUGGUGGGUGUUGGAAAGAUUUAUCGGUUUUGGAUGGACUCGCGGCCUAUCAGCUUGUUGGUGAGGUAAUGGCUCACCAAGGCGACGACGGGUAGCCGGCCUGAGAGGGUGACCGGCCACACUGGGACUGAGACACGGCCCAAACUCCUACGGGAGGCAGCAGUGGGGAAUAUUGCACAAUGGGCGCAAGCCUGAUGCAGCGACGCCGCGUGAGGGAUGACGGCCUUCGGGUUGUAAACCUCUUUCAGUAGGGAAGAAGCGAAAGUGACGGUACCUGCAGAAGAAGCACCGGCUAACUACGUGCCAGCAGCCGCGGUAAUACGUAGGGUGCGAGCGUUAUCCGGAAUUAUUGGGCGUAAAGAGCUCGUAGGCGGUUUGUCGCGUCUGUCGUGAAAGUCCGGGGCUUAACCCCGGAUCUGCGGUGGGUACGGGCAGACUAGAGUGCAGUAGGGGAGACUGGAAUUCCUGGUGUAGCGGUGGAAU